CGACUUCGGCCGGACUCGGAGAAGGGGCGGGGUCACUUCUCCCUCACCUAGGGGGAGCCUAGAGCUGAGGUCAUCCGCUUCUGAUUGGUUCAGUGCGGCAUAUUUGGUGCUCGGGUUAUGGGAAACUGCACAUUUUUUCCCCCUGCCUUCCAGAGGCGGCAGCAGCAGGGCACGCUAAUGUUAACUAUUUCAGACUAUUUAAGUACACAACUUCAUGUUUAUCAGUCAGUCAAUAAACAUGAAAUACCUAUGAUGUGCCAGGCACUGUGCUAAGCUUUGAAGAUACCAGAGGCAAAAGACAGUUCUUGGCUCUCAAGAAGCUCCUAGUCUGAUGGGGGGAGACAACCUGUCCAGGACUUAGUGACAGUGUAGGAAGGAGAAAAAAUAAAUGGACC